GAUGAACGCUGGCGGUAGGCCUAACACAUGCAAGUCGAACGGCAGCACAGGCGAGCUUGCUCUCUGGGUGGCGAGUGGCGGACGGGGGAGGAAUACAUCGGAAUCUACUCUGUCGUGGGGGAUAACGUAGGGAAACUUACGCUAAUACCGCAUACGACCUACGGGUGAAAGCAGGGGAUCUUCGGACCUUGCGCGAUGCAAUGCGCCGAUGUCGGAUUAGCUAGUUGGCGGGGUAAAGGCCCACCAAGGCGACGAUCCGUAGCUGGUCUGAGAGGAUGAUCAGCCACACUGGAACUGAGACACGGUCCAGACUCCUACGGGAGGCAGCAGUGGGGAAUAUUGGACAAUGGGCGCAAGCCUGAUCCAGCCAUACCGCGUGGGUGAAGAAGGCCUUCGGGUUGUAAAGCCCUUUUGUUGGGAAAGAAAUCCAGCUGGCUAAUACCCGGUUGGGAUGACGGUACCCAAAGAAUAAGCACCGGCUAACUUCGUGCCAGCCGCCGCGGUAA
rnacentral:rRNA from 1 species